UGACCUCAGAUCAGGUAGGGAUACCCGCUGAACUUAAGCAUAUCAAUAAGCGGG
rnacentral:rRNA from 1 species